CAAAUUCCAUGGUCUGCCAAUGGA
rnacentral:siRNA from 1 species